rnacentral:rRNA from 1 species
CCUACGGGUGGCAGCAGUGAGGAAUAUUGGUCAAUGGACGAGAGUCUGAACCAGCCAAGUAGCGUGAAGGAUGACUGCCCUAUGGGUUGUAAACUUCUUUUAUAUGGGAAUAAAACGUUCCACGUGUGGGAUUUUGUAUGUACCAUAUGAAUAAGGAUCGGCUAACUCCGUGCCAGCAGCCGCGGUAAUACGGAGGAUCCGAGCGUUAUCCGGAUUUAUUGGGUUUAAAGGGAGCGUAGGUGGAUUGUUAAGUCAGUUGUGAAAGUUUGCGGCUCAACCGUAAAAGUGCAGUUGAAACUGGCAGUCUUGAGUACAGUAGAGGUGGGCGGAAUUCGUGGUGUAGCGGUGAAAUGCUUAGAGAUCACGAAGAACUCCGAUUGCGAAGGCAGUUCACUGGACUGCAACUGACACUGAGGCUCGAAAGUGUGGGUAUCAAACAGGAUUAGAUACCCGUGUAGUC